rnacentral:rRNA from 1 species
GUGAGGAAUAUUGGUCAAUGGGCGAGAGCCUGAACCAGCCAAGUCGCGUGAAGGAAGAAGGAUCUAUGGUUCGUAAACUUCUUUUGCAGGGGAAUAAAGUGCGGGACGUGUCCUGUUUUGUAUGUACUCUGAGAAUAAGGAUCGGCUAACUCCGUGCCAGCAGCCGCGGUAAUACGGAGGAUCCGAGCGUUAUCCGGAUUUAUUGGGUUUAAAGGGUGCGUAGGUGGGUUGAUAAGUCAGCGGUGAAAGUUUGCAGCUUAACUGUGAAAAUGCAGUUGAAACUGUCGGACUUGAGUGUAAAUGAGGUAGGCUGAAUGCGUGGUGUAGCGGUGAAAUGCAUAGAUAUCACGCAGAACUCCGAUUGCGAAGGCAGCUUACUAAGCUACAACUGACACUGAAGCACGAAAGCGUGGGGGUCAAACAGGAUUAGAAACCCCAGUAGUCC